UGGGGAAUCUUGCGCAAUGGGCGAAAGCCUGACGCAGCCAUGCCGCGUGUAUGAUGAAGGUCUUAGGAUUGUAAAAUACUUUCACCGGUGAAGAUAAUGACUGUAGCCGGAGAAGAAGCCCCGGCUAACUUCGUGCCAGCAGCCGCGGUAAUACGAAGGGGGCUAGCGUUGCUCGGAAUUACUGGGCGUAAAGGGAGCGUAGGCGGACAUUUAAGUCAGGGGUGAAAUCCCAGAGCUCAACUCUGGAACUGCCUUUGAUACUGGGUGUCUUGAGUGUGAGAGAGGUAUGUGGAACUCCGAGUGUAGAGGUGAAAUUCGUAGAUAUUCGGAAGAACACCAGUGGCGAAGGCGACAUACUGGCUCAUUACUGACGCUGAGGCUCGAAAGCGUGGGGAGCAAACA
rnacentral:rRNA from 1 species